GCGCUAAUAGCUCAGUUGGGAGAGCGUCAGACUGAAGUCGAUUCGGUCCUAUCCAAACAUCCGGGGUAAUCUGAAGGUCACCCGUUCAAUCCGGGUUUGGCGCA
rnacentral:tRNA from 1 species